AUUGAGUGGGAAUAAGAAGCUAACUUAACUUGAAGAGGGAACACCGAUUUAUAAGGAUUUAACAUUGUUAAAAAUGGAUAAAAACCAUAUAAAAUAAUAUAGUUCCCUACCAAAAACCCUACCAAGAAAAAAUUUUGGUAGGGUUUUUGGA
rnacentral:sRNA from 1 species